rnacentral:rRNA from 1 species
UACGUAGUCUUGACAUCUAGCGAAGAUUGUAGAGAUAGGCAAACACGGUUGGGGAACGGUAAGACAGGUGCUGCAUGGCUGUCGUCAGCUCGUGUUGUGAAAUGUUCCGUUAAGUCCCGCAACGAGCGCAACCCUUAUCCUUAGUUGCCAGCACGUAAUGGUGGGAACUCUAGGGAGACUGCCGGUGAUAAUCGGCUGCUACCAGGGGACGACGUCAAGUCAUCAUGGCCCUUACGAGUAGGGCUACACACGUGCUACAAUGGUACGAUGUCUGGCUCCGAAGCUGGCGACANUGAGCGGAUCUCUUAAAGGCAUAGCAUCACCGGAUUGGAGUCUGCAACUCGAGUCCAAGAAGUCGGAAUCGCUACUAUUCCCAA